GCUUAUACACCAGUGCUAACCACUGUUAAAACCAAAUACUGAAUUUGGGAUUGCUAGUAACUGGCAAUCUUAACCAAAGAUAACUCUCAACAACGGAUAUCUUGGCUCUCGCAACGAUGAAGAACGCAGCGAAAUGCGAUACGUAGUGUGAAUUGCAGAAUUCCGUGAACCAUCGAAUCUUUGAACGCAUAUUGCGCUCGAGCCUCCGGGCAAGAGCAUGUCUGCCUCAGCGUCGGUUUACACCCUCACCCCUCCCACUUUGUUGGGUUGCUUGGCAACUUUGCCAGCAUAGGUGGUGGAUCUGGCUUCCCCAAUCUGCCGUCUGGUAGAUUGGGUUGGCUGAAGAGUAGAGGUUUAAGCAAGGACCCGUUAUGGGCUUCAACUGGAUAGGUAGCACCGGCUUGUGCCGACUACACGAAGUUGAUGCUCGUGGAUCUUGCUAGAGGCCAAGCAGGAACGUGCCCAUGGCACGUCUAAACUUUCGACCUGAGCUCAGGCAAGGCUACCCGCUGAACUUAAGCAUAUCAAUAAGCGGAGGAAAUG
rnacentral:rRNA from 1 species